rnacentral:tRNA from 1 species
GCAUCGGUGGUUCAUUGGUAGCAUGCUCACCUGCCACGCGGACGGCCCGAGUUCGAUAUCCGGCCGAUGCA